UACGUAGGAGGCUAGCGUUGUCCGGAAUCAUUGGGCGUAAAGAGCGUGUAGGCGGUCCGGUAAGUCCGCUGUGAAAGUCGGGGGCUCAACCCUCGAAUGCCGGUGGAUACUGUCGGGCUAGAGUGCGGAAGAGGCGAGUGGAAUUCCUGGUGUAGCGGUGAAAUGCGCAGAUAUCAGGAGGAACACCUAUUGCGAAGGCAGCUCGCUGGGACGUAACUGACGCUGAGACGCGAAAGCGUGGGGAGCAAACAGG
rnacentral:rRNA from 1 species